rnacentral:rRNA from 1 species
GUGUCGUCUAAAUUUGGUGCCAGAAGACUCGGUAAGACCUUAGACGCAAACGUUAAUCGUCAUAAUCAGGCGUAAAGGGUGUGUAGGCGGCUUUAAAAAAAUAUAAUAAGUAUUAUAUUUUUUAUAGUAAAAAUUAUAUUUAAAUAAAAGCUAGAAUCUAAAAGAGGGUAAGCUAAACAACAUAAUUAAUUGGGACUGACAACUUAUAAUAAUGUGGAGUACUAAAGGUUAAAGCUAUUUAUCUACUUAAGAUUGACGCUGAGAAACGAAGGGGAGAAUAAGAAACUUAGAUUAGAGACCUAAUUAUCUCUCUCAGUCAACGAUGAAUGGUAGUUAUUAAAAACUUUUAUAAUAUUAGUAACGAGGUUAACACGAUGACCAUUCCGCCUUGUUAGUAAGACUGCAAAGUUGAAAACAAAAAAAUUAGUCGGUCUUGAAGCAAACGAAGUGAAGCAUGUUAUUUAAUUCGAUAAUCCGCAAG